rnacentral:lncRNA from 13 species
CCAAUUUCUCAGGGAAAUACCAAACGUGACAAGUUACUUUAUUCCUUUCACUUAGGUGUGUGAUCCCUCUCCACUGUCAACAUCUUCAUCAACAUCACUGACUCCGGUUGAAAUCAGACUCUUUCACAUGAAUGACUUCAAACAAAAAGAAGGUGGUGAGAGUUACAUUGGGAACAGACAUGACAUGAGAAAUAACAGAGUUGUUGAGAGCUGGAGGAAGGUAAGGUAGGUA